AGAGUUUGAUCCUGGCUCAGGAUGAACGCUGGCGGCGUGCUUAACACAUGCAAGUCGAACGGGGCUAUCUGAAAAGAGACUUCGGUCAAUGGAAGGAUAGCCUAGUGGCGGACGGGUGAGUAACGCGUGAGUAACCUGCCUAGGAGUGGGGAAUAACAGUCCGAAAGGAUUGCUAAUACCGCAUAAUGCAGUUGGGUCGCAUGGCCCUGACUGCCAAAGAUUUAUCGCUCUUAGAUGGACUCGCGUCUGAUUAGCUAGUUGGCGGGGUAAUGGCCCACCAAGGCGACGAUCAGUAGCCGGACUGAGAGGUUGGCCGGCCACAUUGGGACUGAGAUACGGCCCAGACUCCUACGGGAGGCAGCAGUGGGGAAUAUUGGGCAAUGGGCGAAAGCCUGACCCAGCAACGCCGCGUGAAGGAAGAAGGCUUUCGGGUUGUAAACUUCUUUUAAGAGGGACGAAAAAAAUGACGGUACCUCUUGAAUAAGCCACGGCUAACUACGUGCCAGCAGCCGCGGUAAUAC
rnacentral:rRNA from 1 species